CAGGCAGCAGCGCUGGUACCCGUGCCAUCUGCCACUGACGUUCUGACGGUCACGUGAUGCCGUCUCCAGGGACUUUCACUCGGCUCUCAUCAUCUGGCGCUCACGGUUGUCUGUAUUGGCAGACUCUGCCGCUCUUUCUGACUCAAUGCCAGUAAAUGAUGGAGCCUGCAUACGUAUUGUCGCUCGAGUGCUGGUUUGGAUCAGAAAAAUGCUGUUUCAUCACUGCCUGGGUCCUAUCCAAAUUCUGACAUCAGCUGUCAGUCACAAAAGAGGAUUCGGGCUUGUGUUCACUGUCGUGUUGUGGAUGGAUCUCUUGAGGCUGUGGGUCAUUUGACAGGGAUAAGAGUGAGAAUCUGGACAUCUGAGGUUCUGGAAGGAGAGUGAGGAUAAGCAAAUUUCAGAAUGAC